rnacentral:lncRNA from 1 species
UUUCCAUAAAUGGCCCCCGAGUUAUUAGUCUCCAGGGCCCUAUAGGACCUGUUGAUGAAGGGAAAGACUGAGGUCAGCAGGCUAAGGUACUGAAAAUGGAAAAGCAAUAACAGGAAAGGAUCUGUGUAAUUUAGGGGUGAAAAGUACAGGGAAUUUUCAUUCAUUUCAGUCCUGAAUGUUCCCAGCCAUUAGUGGUACUACCUUCAACAGAGCUGCUUUAGACGCUGAUUUGGGCACAAUCUCCUCAGUAAUGUCUCUUAUCAUCACCACUGAUGUGCUUUACUCCUUGUGUAAAAUAUAGGAAGAAGGGUUUUCACAGAUCAAUUGAGAUCACAAUUCCCUAACAUCAUUCCUUGUCCCAAAGAUUUCAUUUCUCCCUGGGUAAUUCUCUCAGCUUUUCAAAAGCAAUGCAAUCCUGAGGCCUGGGAGGGAGUUCUAAGGAGGGAUGGGAAGGAGUUCCUUGCUCCCUCUGCUGGCCAAACCUGGCAUUGUCAGCACAGCCCAGAAGCCAGUGGAGGUUUAGCCCAAGCACAGCUGGACAACCAUGCCCCAGAACCCUCAAAGUAAAACCACUACCAGAGGGACACGAAUAACAUCAUAGCUGCUAUUCAUCAUUAAGAAAUCACUAUCUUCCAGAAACUGGCAGGUAGUUUACAUUCAUUAUCUCAUUUACAUUUUAAUUCUAUAGCAUUUCCUACUAAUGAUCCUGAUAGGUUUUAUAGAAGAGAUAGUGAUGUUUCAGAACCAAAACCUAACCAUGAUUGAUUCCAAAUACAUGCUCUUUCUUAUAUUUUGUACUUUAAGGCCAGCUUAACACUUGUCCUGUCUUGGGCCAUGACUUUGUUCCCAGCUCUAAUCCAACUUGAACAUCCAUCUCUGAUUCUAGUCUCAAGCUAGAAUCCACCCACCUCGCCUCCUGCUCCUGGCUCCUAGUGCUUGCUCUAGAUCUUUCUCCAGUUGAAUGGCCUCUGUCCCUAUGAAUCUGAUUUCCUCCCAAGGUUGAUACUUUUAUUUUCAUCUGUCUUCUGGGGUUAGCAGCCAAACACUAAAAAAGAAAAAGGUGGGGUGGGUUGGGCUGAAGAAGCUUUUGUGGGAGAGAAGCUAACUGGGAACACUGAAGAGGGGUGUACCUCCAAAAUCUUAGCCCUGCUGAGGUAUCCCACAGUAAUGACUUAAGGAGAGAAGUGGGUGUGUCCUAAGGUCCUGUGGGAGGCAGAAGAACUAAAACAACAACAACAACAACAACAAAAAAAACACAACAGUUUGUUCUCAGCAGGAGGGCCCUUGAGCAGUCUUGACAGCCCUUUAGAAAUUUAGCAGUGACUCCAAAACUCCUUUCUCACAGCUGCAUGUGUGCAGGCCUGGCUAUUGGCAUCCCUUCCCCAGGGCAGCAGGUGGUCCCUUGUUUUUGGCUGCAGUCCUGGUAUCACACUUCAGCACAUUGGGCAGACUUGCUAGGGAUUCACAAGCUUUCCUUUUCACAACUGGAUCCUUCUCCCCCGUUACCAUGGUUACGGCCUAUAACCUUCGUUCCCCAGGAAGCAAGGAGCUUGCCUAGCUCAGGAAGUCCCUUUCUUAUCUCCCCAUGAAAAAAAGUAUGACAAACUUGUAUUUCAUUCCAUGUGACUUAGGAGCCCUGUGAAAGUACGAAAGCUAGUUCCAGAGCUUCAAAAUGAGAUGAUAGUGGCCUCUUUCUCAUAUCGUUGUAAGGAUUAAUUGAAACAAUUAAUUGGCCUAGGACCUAGCAUAAGUAACUCUUCAACAAAUCAAAUCUAAUAUUUUUAGUUGCUUUGUGGGCUUCGGUUUCCUGAUCAGGAAAAAUGAACAUAAUAAUUUAAAUUUCCUAAUAUUAUUAUAAUGACAAAAUGAGAUAAUGUAUGUACAGCAGUUUAGAAUGAUUCAACGACAGUUAUAAAAAUAUACAUUUCCUUGAUUCUCUAAAUCAGGCAAUUUGCAUUUAAGCUUUUAACCACCUACCUUAUGGGGAAUUUGAUCUCAGAUGUGUUUUGUGGUAUUCUUUCUGUUCUCUCUUUCCCUAGUUAGGGGCUUGUAAACAUCUCUGGGUGUUUUAUGUUAGACAGGAUAUCUGGAACAGGCCUUUGGUCUUCAGGCCAUGCUGAUUAUGCUGGUAUGGGUCUUGUUCAAGCCUGUGUACCCUUAGGGGACAUGCUCUGAGAUUCCAGUGUCU